AACCCUUGAUGGGGAUUAGAUAAGAAGAGAGGUUAUGACCACGUGUGGGAAGGGGGAGGACAGAAGGGACCGACUCACCUCUUCGACCUCUCACUACCGUCAGGGAAAGACCUCACUCAUUCUUGAUGGGGAUAGGGAAGAAACACCGGGGAUGAGCCUCAAGGAGGAGACUCUCGACCGGUAUGUCGAUCGGACUGAAGCAUUUGACUGCAACUUCUUAUUGCGGCAACACAGUGGCUGCAUGAGGUUCAAAUUUAUUUCUCUUAACACUAUGUAUCGAUAUACUUGAUUUUAAUUUAAAUCGUGUUUUGAUCAAAUUCUUGUUUCGGGUUUGUCGGUGUCCUCGUUGGGGUAAAUGUGUUCGGCGGAGAUUGUGGUGCUUGUUUCAAUAAGUACGGUGUUUGAAUUCAUGUCCCUUUCCCAUUCAAAUUUGGGCUCUUUUCUGUUAUAUUUGAACUGGGAUGUGACAAAUGGUAUCAGAUCGCAGGGAUAUGAUUACUGGAAUUAUAUGUGGGAAAGAAAAGGGUGUAUUGAAUUUUUGUUUAUCUCUGAUUCGAUAGUUUGAGUAUUAGAGAUUCUAUCGUCUUCUGGUCCUUCAGUUCGUUUGUAUCAUUGUGUGUAUUAUCUUUCAUCAGAUCAUAGAUCAUAUCCAGUUCACCUUAAAUUUUUGGUAUUUGAUUAAUUUCUUGAGCACUCAAUCACAGUGCUUAAAUUAGUUGCGAGUUGGGCAAAUUGCAACUUUUUAUUGGAGUGGUCUCUCUUGGAGCUUCUGAGUAUUAUUCGUAUAUAGAAAUGAGUUUAAUAUCUACUAGUAAUAAUAUUAGUACUUGAAUUGAUGACAUUUGCUUGUGACGUCUCAAAUUUUGAAAGACAACUGCAUAAUUGCAUAUCUUGCUUUCAUUUAGCCCUAUCUAAUGAACUGAGAGUUCAUGUGAUUUUCAAGGAAUGUUUCCUUGCAUCUUGGAUGUUUUAAAUUGGGAACAUGGUUGUACUCCUUGCAUCUUUGAUGCACUGGAAGUGUUUACUUGCUGAUAAAUAUGAUUGAGCUCUUCUGAAUUCUUUUAUUCUUAAUCUAUGUGGUAUCUCUAAUAUUUUAAACUUCAAUAAAGCAUUUGUUAGCCUUGUUGAACAUUAACUCGUGAGAUCUUGUUUUAAGUUCUGAUAGGGUUAUUCCAUGGUUCCUACUAUUUUAUGAAAAACAUAGUUUGGAAUGAUAAGAGUUGCUUUCUCGUUUGUAUAUGUUUAUUAGUCAUAUGCAGCACAUCCAAUAUUGUGAUAUGUGGGUAAGCGCUCUCCUCCAAAUUUGUUCUCUUGAAUUAGAAGGAUUAUUCAUAUCUAAGGAGCUUUAUAGAUUUCAAGAAAUUAUAAUUGAGGUUUUGUAGAGUCACAGAGAUAACGAUAUGAUCAUUUAGGAAAGUUUAUCAAUUAAUUGGAAAUGGAGAAAGGUGCUUGCUUACCUCACUGUUAUAUAAAUGGCUAUUUUCAUUCAUUGUAUUUUUUUUUCAAUGUUUCUAACUUUGGUUGAUGCACUUGCAUAAAGCCAUGAAAAUGUACCAUUUAUUUAGACAUUUGUGUGUGUGUGUGUAUAAGUUGAGUUAGUUAUAGAUACAGCUUUGGAGUUUAUUCGGGGAGUUAGAAAUUGCCUGGUGAAGAUCCACAGUGUAUACACUGUCGUGAGCAGAGUAUUGGCUUUUAUCAGUUGACACAGUUUGAUUCUGUUAUCAUGACUGUUCUUAACCUAUAUAGUUUUCUAAUUCUUUUGAAAGUUCAUGGUAUAAGUUCCAUGUAUUGAGUCAGUACGUGGAAGUGAAAAGGAUGCAAUUAUAUUUGGAAAGCAGGUAUGUCCAGGUAAAUUUUCAUACCACUGGUUGGUAUGUUCUUUUAUUCAUUACCUUGAUUGUGAAUUGGUCCAUCACUUUGAAGUUCUUUUGGUCUCUGGUAUGCGAUUCCAAAACUGAUAUGCUUAUGAAUGAUGUUCUGGCUGUAAUUUAUAUUUGUUGACAUGUACUUAAUGAUUAAUACUGGGAUAGAAAUAAAUGUAUAAAGAAAAUAAGUUUCAUGUACCUAUAUCUGAUUUGUGUGCUUGAGCUGAAUUGCAAAAGAUAUCCUGCAGUAUGGUUGGUUUCAUGGUUUUAUUAUUGAGUUGGUUGUGUCCUUAUAUUACAAAUUUCUCCAUUUUGCUUCUGCCUCAGAUUCCCUUGAGGAAUUGUUUCAUGUUUCUAUCUUUGUUCUUUAUUGGUUUUGCUUGGUUGUGCUUCCCAGGCUGGUUAAAUCCCUUUGGAUUAUCUAAUUUAUCUUAUAUGUGGUUCUAGAGUAUAAACCACUAAUCCUUCUAUUUGAGUUGGUUGCAGAAAUAAUUGGUCAUAUACAGGUUAAAAGAACAAUGAAUGAAGUGUCAUAUCCUUUUGUAGCAUAUUUCGUUUUCUUUUGCAGACUUGCUGUAAGACAUAUGCAUAUUAAUUCUACUUUAUGGGUUAAUCAAAGCCUGUGAAUAAUGCAAUGCAACUGUUUUGUGUCCGAAUUCGAUCAGGAUUUAGGACUCCAUUUGCUCAAUCUUUGUACUCUUGUUCUUCCAUAUGUGAACUCUUUGAUCUGGAAAGUUUGGUGUUAUUUGAUAGUGUAGGCAUAUUGUGGUGAUUUUCUGAAGUUAACUGCUCUAUGCUGUAAUUGUGUUGUGUUAUGCAUUGUAGUUGUUUUACAUUCAGAUUUGAUUAGGAUUCAGAACUCGAUUUGGCUUGAAAUUUUGUGGAAUUAUUGUUCUAUGUGUGCACUAGUGUACUACUGAUCUGGAUUGGAUUUUAUUGAUAAGCUAGAUAAAUCAUGGUGAAUUUCUGAUGUUAGGUGCUCAUUAGUUUUCUGUCAUCUAUGCCAUCAUUAUGAAAUGUCUUCGUUACCUCGGCCACAGGGGUUAGUGUGGGCCCUAUCCACAAGGGAAAAGUGUGGACCUCUUCCACAGGAGUUAGUGUGGGCCCUAUCCACAAGAGAAUAAUGUGGGUUCCCCUUUUUAGUUGUGAAGAGGGAUAUGUGUAUCUGUUUGUUUCGAUAAGUAUUUUGUGCUUUUGUUAUGAAAUAUCUUUCGUUACCUCGGCCACAGGGGUUAGUGUGGGUCCUAUCCACAAGGGAAAAAUGUGGACCUCAGCCAGAAGGGUUAGUGUGGGCCCUUUCCACAUGGGAAUAUUAUGGGUUUCCCUCUUCAGUUAAGGGAUAUGUAUAUAUGUUUCCUCCGUUAAGUGCUUUGUGAAAUGACUAUCCCAUUUUCAGUUGUGAAGCGGGAUAUGCAUAUAUGUUUGUUUUGAUAAGUACUAUGUACUUUUCAGUUUUGAAUAAGCACUACAGGAAAUAUCGACUUAGCCGACGGAAUGUUUUUCAUUUCGUCAGCUAAGUAAUUCUUCGUCGACGGAAGCAUAACCGUCGUAUAGGACACCACAUUCAUCGCCUAAGAUGUUUUAGGCGACGGAAAAUGACUUCCGUCGACUAAGCUAUUCCUAUUCGACAAAACACUAUUCGUCGUCCAAGUUCCGUUAGCUUAGUAAGACUUGAGCGACGAACAUUGUUCCGUCGGUGAAGUAACACUUGGGUGACGAAUAUUCCUAUUUAGCCGACGAACUGUUCCGUCGACUAAGAAUAUGAAUUAUUGCCUGACAGAAAGCAAAAGGAAUAUUUUUUUCGACGCCUUUUGUCUUAGGCGACAGAAUAUUGCGUCGGCUAAGUUUGUACAUCAUUCAUUUAUAUACCUUCUGCCCAGAAGAGAAUGUAGAAGAAAGGCAUGGUCUAGCUCCCCCCUUUCACAUAAUUCAUUCGAUCCAAAUCUAGUUUUGGAAGCUUUUCUUCAUGAAUUUGAGAUCUAGUCUUGGAGAGCUACUUCGAUCUCGAUCUCCUAAUUGGUAUAUAUGUAACUACUUUAAUUAAUUUACUUUCUUCAUUCAGGCAUAUAUAUUUUUCUGCGAAAUUUCUGACGACUUGCCAGUCCAAUUUUGAUGGAAUGUUGCUUACUUGUAUGCUUGAUAUAAUUACUAGAUAUGUGUGUAUAAUAUGUUUGUACGUAAAAUAUUAGAUAUGGAUGUGUGUAUAUAUAAUAUUAUGUUUGUAUAUAUAUCUAACUUUUGUGUGUAUAAUUUUUAGAGUAUAUAUAUAUCUUUAGCUUUUGUAUUUAUGAUUAAUAAUUAUGUGAAUAAUAUGUUUAUUAAAUUUUUGUUUUCAUUCAAAUCAUUUGUAUUCAAAUGAUAAAAAAUAAAAUGAUGAAUCAUGUAAUUAAGAAUUAUAAUAUUCUUAUACAUUCAUCAAUAUAUAUUAUUACCUUUAGAAAUCCCGUUUGAGAACCAUUAUGUUACGACUGUGUAACAAAAUGGUUUUCAAAUUGUCCCAUAUUUGGACAGUUUGGGAGCAUAUGACAUUGAGAUUCUGUUUGUUGUUGGUGCGUUUCGUAUUCGGUUGUGGGUAGAUAUAUUUCGACAAGAUCUUCCCUUAUUGUUCCUCGAGUGCAUACUAGGUAUAGAUAUUCGUGCACUUGGGGAACUGUAGGGAGAUGCUGUCGAAAUUUUCUCACAUAUGCGAAUUUGAAAUGCCCCAACAACAAACAAAAUCAUAAUAUCAUGUGCUCUCAAACGGGAUUAGGGCCCUAACCGGAGGUAUAAAGUGAAGAUUAUUUGGGUAGUAUGGAAAAUUAUUGGAAAACUCUCAAGAUUAUUGGGGUAGUAAACUUCUACGGGGGAUCAGUAAACUUACAAAAAUUUAACUGUCUUUCAAUUUCAAGGACACAACACACAACAAAUACUUAUUCUUACCCUAAUAAACUUUAUUGGCCCCUAGUGAACCUAGUGGAAGUUUACUGCCCCAGUAAACUUCUACUGGGGGUCAGUAAACUUUAAUACAUUAUCUCUUUUUCAUAAUCAUGCUAAUUAUAAACAACAGAUAUCCAGUCUUUACCCUAAUAAACAACUUCAUUGCCUUUAGUAAACCAAGUGGAAGUUUACUGCCCCCAGUAAACUUCCCCAGUAAAGUUCUACUAGGGGUCAGUAAAGUUCUACUGGGGGUCAGUAAACUUCAAUACUGUUUCUCCUUUUCAAUACUUGAUACAACACAUUCGUCUUUCUUGAUUUUCUUCUAGUUUGAUACUUGGAUGUUUGUUUUACUCUUUUUCAGGUAUUUUCUUUAAUCUGGAAUGCUUCUAGUUUUUGUUAUGCUCAUAUGUUUAAGUGGCAAAUUAUUGGGGGUCAGUAAUUUUCCUGACCAGAGCAACCAAAGUUUCUAGAUGAUUGUUAUUACUUAGAUUCCUUUCAACCAUCCUCUAAUGACAUAAUGGUGUAGUAAACUCUCAAGUAUGGAAAAUUAUUGGGGGUCAGUAAUUUUCCUGAACAGAGCAACCAAAGUUUACUGACCCCCAAUUAAUAACCACUUUGUAACAAAAAAAACUGAAACUGACAACCAAAGAUAAAUGAAACUGACAGAAAGAUCAAGACCAAAAUUACUAAAAGAACAAAUUCUGGCAUUGAAAUUCAAGAUCAUUCAUAUGUUCUUGCAACACUACCAAAAUACUACAUAUUUUCACAUUUUGAAGAUCCUACAUCUAAAGUGGUAUUAAUCUUUUUUCUAUAUUUAUGUCCAUGAACUUUAGCAGUAUCUUCUUCCUCAUUUUAUUACCAUCAUCUUCUGUCGGUUUUUCCUAUGACAUAGGCUCUCUAUAAAGUGGAGUAAAAAUUGUCCACAGACUGACUUGCAAUGUAUUAAGAAACAGUGUUACUAAAUUUUUUACCAUAAUAAAACAGAUAAGUAAUUUCUGACCCUAAUAAAACUCUUUAAAAGAAGUUUAAAGGUACUUACGAUGUUUUCUUUUGCUGCGGGCAG
rnacentral:lncRNA from 1 species